AUGGGUCCGAUCGGGAAGCUUUAUCACACUCGGCGUAUGAACAACAAGCUUCCCACAUGGGGCCCA
rnacentral:pre_miRNA from 1 species